UAGAUUAUACUUUCAGGGAUCCACAGUUCAUUCCUAGAGAAGAUUCUCUGAUUGUGUGGAGCACCCGACGCCAUGAGGAGCCAGAGCAUCCUCUCCUGAGUCUGACGUUGGUUCUACGUGUUGCUUUUGCAACUGCCCUUUAACACUGAUGAUCCUUCUUCUCUUCCUUUGAAAGACGGAGAGGAAAAGGUUGCAGUUUGAGUGGU